UGAUACGGUGACACGCUCGCUUCUGAGCUA
rnacentral:sRNA from 1 species